CUGUGUAUCCUAUAUUCUUAUUUUCCAGGUUAACUCAAGUUCUUUCUUUUCAGUGGUACCUUUUCCAGUUAAGGUAUGGUUAGAUGUUAAUAUUGUUUCUCAACAAACACUCAAGCUCAUCUCUUUCUUUUUUAGUGUUUUUAUAUCUUUUGUUUGCAAGAAUUGGUGUUGCAUCUAAGUUUUUACGUGAGAAUAGAAUUACUCUUUUCGAAGUGCGAGAGGAAAAUAUAUACGUUUUAAAAAAAAAAAAAAGAUGACUAGAUUUAUUUAAAAGACAGGAACAAGAGGCCAAUAAAAAAUUCAAGUGCACAACAGCUCUAUGCAUGUGCUAGAAGACUCAAAUACAACAGAUUUCGUACCCCCAAACCCUCAGGCAAUCGUAUAAGGAUUACAACUAUAGAUUUUUCAACAGAAGCAAUUCAAAUUGCUGUCCUUCAGUGAGGACAAAGAGGCUGUCCACUCAAUGAUGUGAGAUUUGGCCUUGGAAAACACCCCCAGAGCAGAGACAGAUUGUUAAAAAUUUGUUAUUUCUUUCUCUCCAUAAUGCCCACAAAACUGCCAGCAAAAGUAUCCACCAGACACGUUUCCUGGUUAGUAUGAGAGGAAAUUGUCAUGUUACCUGGGAAAAUUGGACACGUACUAUUUCAGUCCUGAGCAUCCGCCCUUGACUAAACCAGCUCAAAGGGCACUCGAUUGCGCUCUUGAUGAGUCAGGCAAUUUUGAAACAAUUUUCUCCUCAUUUCUUUGUGUUGAUUGUAGGUUUAAUAGCUUUAAGGACAUGAUAUCUUGAGGUUUUUUGCUUGGAGGAAAAGAAUUUGGCAUUUUGAGUUAAAAAUAAUAUAAUAAUUAGGCAUGUACUUCUAUAAGAGAGCUUUUUUAUUGUCAAUAAAAUAAAAUAUAGAGAAAUUCUCCGCCUUCAAGGGAAAAAAAAAGGAGAAGAAGAAGAAGAAUUUGGCAAUUUGAGUUGUGUUUGCUUGGAGGAUUGAAUUUGGCAUUUUGGGUUUUACUUUUUGGGAGGAUUUUUUAGGGUGUUUGUAUGAUAAAGGUGAGAUUUUGUGAUUUUGUGGGGUGGGAUUUCUAGUUUCUACAUGUAGGUUUUGUUCUUUGGAGGAUUCUGGAUUUAAAAAAGGGUGGGAAAUUUGAAUCUUUAAACGGUGGUGAAACGGAGGUAUGAUUGGGGUAGAAUUUCAGCUUUUUUUCUUUUUUCUUUUUUCUUUUCACCAGCUGAGUUUUUGCUGAGUAGUUUUUUUAUAUUGAGCUUUUGAAUGAAGAAGCUACAAAGCUGAUCUUUUUUGCUUCAGUUCUCAUGAAAAUGGUGGUUCUUGGGUGAGAAUUUCAGGUGGGAGGUUUUCUUGUUGUGUUGCAGUUGUUUCUCAUCUGGGCUUUUACUUUUGUGUUUAUGUUGGUUGUGUAUGGAAUUUAAUGUGGAAAUCGCUGGCUUUUGGGCUAUGGUGGUUUUGGUAAAUUAUCUUUGACAAUGAGAAGAGUGAAAGGUUUUUGGAGUGGAAGAGAGGAUGGAAAGGAGAUAUUUCCUGUUUUGAGAAAUGAGUUUGCUGGUUUUGGUAUGGAUUGAGAGCUCCAAUGCAAGCCUUCUCCUUCUAGCGUAAACUACAAAAAGCCUUCCCCCCGCCCCCACUGUUUGCUAGGUUAUCUUAGCACAGCUUUAACAAUGAAUUAUAUAUGCUUAUUUGGAUUGGCUUGAAAUGACAGGGAGUUUGUUCUUUCCUCAAUUCCUUUGUUCUUUUGAGGUUACUAUGAGAGUUAGACAGCCAAUUCUAUGGAGAAAGUCCUUUGCUAGACAUAGAGGUUCUGUUCACAGGCCACAAGGUUCCAUUUAACAACUGGCUCUGGUGUUUAUGUGCACCAGUUGGGUACUCAAAAAGAAAUUGGUAACUCUACCCAAUACAUGGCGCUGGUUGUUGAAGGGCACCACAAGGAUCUCUAUAGAUUUUCCCAUUGACUUCUUCCAUGCGCUAAAUUUCCAAACAUUUUAUAGGAACAAAAAUGAUGGUCAUAACCUUUGUUUUUACACCGAGAAUGUAUCAGACAGUUUAACAGGGAUUGAGAGUAAUACAGCAGCUAUUCAGCAACUGCCAAGAGCACUACUGGUAGCAUUUGAUGAAAGAUUUGAUGGGAAGGUGUCAUCAUCAACUCUGUUUUAGAAUUUGGAGAACCUGUGAAUGAAGUGCUCGGAAGCUACAAUGUAUUAGAAGAUUUGGAGCAUUCAAAGGCCUCUGAGACCCUCGACAUGAUUUUGAAGGGGGCAGGCGGCAGUAGCUUUUUGCAAUAUGCAGGAAAUAGACCCGGUUGGCCCUGCCCUAAUGGAUCUUUGGAGUCUGCCAGCAGCAAGAUUCCAAAAUGGAUCCUGUGGUGCCCGAAUCAUCAGACGGGGAAAGCAUUGCAUUUUCAACCACAAAAGCUGGGAUUCUAAAACUGAAUUCCAUGAAUUCGUUAAAUAUUCAAACUUAAGCAGGCAAAGGAACAACAAAGAAAGAGGGCGUUGAGAAAGGAAUGCUUGCAGCCAACUGAUACUUCUGAAAGGAACGCCUGCACCAGUGAUGGAAGAGAUCGGCUUGAGUGCUUGACUGAGGAAGAACUUCAAACAACACCAAAGAUGUUGCAUUUUAAGUUCAUACAUGUAUUUACUUUUGUGGAUUUUCAGUUGAUGUCUUUUUUUCGUAGGAAAGGAGGGAAAUGGAAGUGUUUAGGCAUA